rnacentral:rRNA from 1 species
CUUCCCUUCCGCCAGCCCGCGGGAAUUUUCUUGAUGAGGAGGAAAAACUAUAAGCCCCCCCCGGCGGGAGUGAGAGAGCGAUUCGGUGUGUAAGAACAUUCUUCUCGCGAGAGAAAACUCUUUUUUAAUAACACCCUCCCUUGACGGUACCUCCCGAGGAAGCACCGGCCAACUACGUGCCAGCAGCCGCGGUAAUAAAUAGGGGGCGAGCGUUUUUCGGAAUUAUUUGGGGUAAAAAAAGGGUAGGCGGGCGGUUAAGUCAGAUGUGAAAAACCCCCGCUCAACCCCGGAAGGGCAUUCGAAAAAACUCAUCUUGAGUGCGGGAGAGGGAAGGGGAAUUCCCGGUGUAGGGGUGAAAUAAGUAGAUAUCUGGAGGAACACCCGCGGGGAAGGGGGCUUUCUGGUCCGUUACUGACGCUGAGGCGCGAAAGAAAGGGGAGCAAACACGAUUAGAUACCCCCCUAGUUCCCCCCCUCAACAAUGGAUACUAGGUGGGGUGGUAUCGACCCCUUCAGUGCCGAAGCUAACGCGAUAAGUACACCGCCUGGGAUACC